GCAGACCACUCCUACGGGAGGCAGCAGUGGGGAAUAUUGCACAAUGGGCGCAAGCCUGAUGCAGCCAUGCCGCGUGUAUGAAGAAGGCCUUCGGGUUGUAAAGUACUUUCAGCAGUGAGGAAGGUGGGUAUGUUAAUAGCAUACUCAUUUGACGUUAGCUGCAGAAGAAGCACCGGCUAACUCCGUGCCAGCAGCCGCGGUAAUACGGAGGGUGCGAGCGUUAAUCGGAAUUACUGGGCGUAAAAGCGCAUGCAGGUGGUUUGUUAAGUCAGAUGUGAAAGCCCGGGGCUCAACCUCGGAAUUGCAUUUGAAACUGGCAAACUAGAGUACUGUAGAGGGGGUAGAAUUUCAGGUGUAGCGGUGAAAUGCGUAGAGAUCUGAAGGAAUACCGGUGGCGAAGGCGGCCCCCUGGACAGAUACUGACACUCAGAUGCGAAAGCGUGGGGAGCCAAAACAGGAUUAGAUACCCCUGGUAG
rnacentral:rRNA from 1 species